GAGUUUGAUUAUGGCUCAGAACGAACGCUGGCGGCGCGUCUUAAGCAUGCAAGUCGGACGGUAUGGAAGUGCUUGCACUUUCAGAGAGUGGCGGACUGGUGAGUAACACGUGGGUGAUGUACCCUCUGGAUGGGGAUAGCCGGUAGAAAUACCGGGUAAUACCGAAUAAGCAUGGUAGAAGUAGAAGCUAUCAUGGAAAGGUGCUAUGGCAUCGCCAGAGGAGCAGCCCGCGGCCUAUUAGCUAGUUGGUGGGGUAAAGGCCUACCAAGGCGACGACGGGUAUCCGGCCUAAGAGGGUGAACGGACACAUUGGGACUGAGAUACGGCCCAGACUCCUACGGGAGGCAGCAGCUAAGAAUAUUCCGCAAUGGAGGGAACUCUGACGGAGCGACGCCGCGUGGAUGAUGAAGGCCGGAAGGUUGUAAAGUCCUUUUAAGUGAGAAGAAUAAGUGGAGCAGGGAA
rnacentral:rRNA from 1 species